GACAGAGGGUGCAAACGUUGCUCGGAAUCACUGGGCGUAAAGGGCGUGUAGGCGGUUUUGUAAGUCGGGCGUGAAAUCCCUGGGCUCAACCCAGGAACUGCACUCGAAACUGCGAGUCUUGAGUACCGGAGAGGAAGGUGGAAUUCCUGGUGUAGAGGUGAAAUUCGUAGAUAUCAGGAGGAACACCAGUGGCGAAGGCGGCCUUCUGGACGGUAACUGACGCUGAGACGCGAAAGCGUGGGGAGCAAACAGG
rnacentral:rRNA from 1 species